rnacentral:rRNA from 1 species
CACGCCGUAAACGAUGAUUACUAGGUGUGGGGGGACUGACCCCUUCCGUGCCGGAGUUAACACAAUAAGUAAUCCACCUGGGGAGUACGACCGCAAGGUUGAAACUCAAAGAAAUUGACGGGGGCCCGCACAAGCAGUGGAGUAUGUGGUUUAAUUCGAAGCAACGCGAAGAACCUUACCAGGUCUUGACAUCGAGUGAAGAACAUAGAGAUAUGUUCGUCCUUCGGGACACAAAGACAGGUGG